rnacentral:rRNA from 1 species
AAUUGGAGGGCAAGUCUGGUGCCAGCAGCCGCGGUAAUUCCAGCUCCAAUAGCGUAUAUUAAAGUUGUUGCAGUUAAAAAGCUCGUAGUUGAAUUUCGGGAUUGACGUGACGGUCGUGCCUUACGGGGUAUGAACUGUCGCCGUUGAUUUCUCACCUUCUGGAGAAGCUCGAUGUCCUUAGUUGGGUGUCUUGCGGAACCAGGACCUUUACCUUGAAAAAAUUAGAGUGUUUAAAGCAGGCAUUUUGCUCGAAUACAUUAGCAUGGAAUAAUAGAAUAGGACGGCAUGGUUCUAUUUUGUUGGUUUCUAGGAUCACCGUAAUGAUUAAUAGGGAUAGUUGGGGGCAUUAGUAUUCAAUUGUCAGAGGUGAAAUUCUUGGAUUUAUUGAAGACUAACUACUGCGAAAGCAUUUGCCAAGGAUGUUUUCAUUAAUCAAGAACGAAAGUUAGGGGAUCGAAGACGAUCAGAUACCGUCGUAGUCUUAACCAUAAACUAUGCCGACUAGGAAUCAGACGAUGUUAAUUUUUUAAUGACUCGUUCGGCACCUUACGGGAAACCAAAGUGU